CAGAGUUUUUGAGAGCAGAGUUGAGUGAAUUUUCUGUUCUUUUACCACCUCAUAGAACAACUAUGUUUAGAUGGGCUUUGAUGUCUCUGUGCUUCAUGGCACGUUAUGAUGUGUCUUCGGGACAGGACAGGGUUGAACAGUCUUCAGGAGAAAUGACUGCAAGUGAAAGACAUCAAACUAUUGUGAAGUGAACAGAGGCUCCUCCCUGAUGGGCGGGACUCUAGUGCUGAUCAUGGGCCACACCUGUGACACAAUAUUUAAGAAGCUCAUGGAUUCUGGCUCUCUUUCUCUCUCUCAUUUUUAUUUGGUGUUCUUGUUUGAGGAGUGGGUUCUUGAGAUUGUGUGUUCCCAUUUUUUC